AAUGAACGUUGGCGGCGUGGAUUAGGCAUGCAAGUCGUGCGCGAUCUGUAGCAAUACAGGGAGAGCGGCGUAAGGGAGAGUAAUACGUAGGUAUCUGCCCUCGGGUCUGGGAUAGCGGCGGGAAACUGCCGGUAAUACCAGAUAAUGUCUCCGGACCAAAGGUGUGAUUCCACCUGAGGAGGAGCCUACGGCCUAUUAGCUAGUUGGCAGGGUAACGGCCUACCAAGGCAAAGAUGGGUACGGGGUGUGAGAGCAUGCCCCCGCUCACUGGGACUGAGACACUGCCCAGACACCUACGGGUGGCUGCAGUCGAGAAUCUUCGGCAAUGGGCGCAAGCCUGACCGAGCGACGCCGCGUGCGGGAUGAAGGCCUUGGGUUGUAAACCGCUGUCGUAGGGAGUGAAAUGCUAGUGGGUUAGUCCCAUUAGCUUGACUGAACCUAGGAGGAAGGGCCGGCUAAUCUCGUG
rnacentral:rRNA from 1 species